AGUUUUCUCGUUGGAAUUGUUUUACAUUGGCAUAUCGGGGCCUUUUACAGCUGACUAUGCAGUAUGGGCUUUGCUCAUUGUUGAAGGCUGUUUGGUGACCUAUAGUUGUUAAUGUCUGUGUUAUUUUGGUCCCUUGUGGACAGUUAUCUAAAUGUCAAUCAUACCACAUCUUCUUUUUUAUACAAACAAUAACUGUAGAUUUUCUCUGGUGAAAAAUUUCUAUAAUUUGGUCAUACAUGUACAUAGAACGAAUGUUAACUUGUUGUUACCAUAGCAACUAUUUUACUGAUAUUAAAUAGCUAAACUUUAUAUCAAUUUUGUUCUUCA
rnacentral:lncRNA from 1 species